AGAAUCAACGCUGGCGGCGUGCCUAACACAUGCAAGUCGAACGAGAAAGUGGGAGCAAUCCCACGAGUAAAGUGGCGCACGGGUGAGUAACACGUGACUAACCUACCCUUGAGUGGGGGAUAACCUAGGGAAACCUGGGCUAAUACCGCAUAAUACCUACGGGUCAAAGGAGCAAUUCGCUUUAGGAGGGGGUCGCGGCAGAUUAGUUAGUUGGCGGGUAAUGGCCCACCAAGACUAUGAUCGGUAU
rnacentral:rRNA from 1 species